ACGAACGCUGGCGGCGUGCUUAACACAUGCAAGUCGAACGGAAAGGCCCUGCUUUUGUGGGGUGCUCGAGUGGCGAACGGGUGGGUAACACGUGAGUAACCUGCCCUUGACUUUGGGAUAACUUCAGGAAACUGGGGCUAAUACCGGAUAGGAGCUCCUGCUGCAUGGUGGGGGUUGGAAAGUUUCGGCGGUUGGGGAUGGACUCGCGGCUUAUCAGCUUGUUGGUGGGGUAGUGGCUUACCAAGGCUUUGACGGGUAGCCGGCCUGAGAGGGUGACCGGCCACAUUGGGACUGAGAUACGGCCCAGACUCCUACGGGAGGCAGCAGUGGGGAAUAUUGCACAAUGGGCGGAAGCCUGAUGCAGCAACGCCGCGUGCGGGAUGACGGCCUUCGGGUUGUAAACCGCCUUCGCCUGUGACGAAGCGUGAGUGACGGUAAUGGGUAAAGAAGCACCGGCUAACUACGUG
rnacentral:rRNA from 1 species